AGUUAUAUAUAGAGAGAGUGUCCGCUAAAGAAUCAGUUUCAAUUCAAAAUGGCCAAAUUACUAGUAGUACUCAUUGCUUUAAGCUGCAUUUUGUUGCCACAGAGCCACUUAGUGGCUUCCCUUCAGUGCUAUUCUUGCUCAGGGGUGAUAAAUUCUUAUUCCAAAUGUACAGAUUUGCGUAAUGUUCAUUCUUCAGUUUGUGGAAGUGAUCAAGUUUGUGCUACUUUUGUUUUGCGAAAACCAAAUGUAGAUGUUUUGCAAAGAAAGUGUGCCCCCAGUACUAUAUGCAGUGAUUUGGAAAGAAAAUAUCAGCGUAAUCCAGUUAUUACAGUUAACGAAUGUAAUGUUUGUAAUGAAGAUAACUGUAAUUCUGCCCCUGCUCUGUAAGUUAAUGAAGAUCCUGAGAUAAUUACUGCUGAUGUAUUUGGUAAAUGAAUUUAAUUAAAUAUAUUGAUUGAAAAACUA